rnacentral:rRNA from 1 species
UACGAAGGGGACUAGCGUUGUUCGGAAUCACUGGGCGUAAAGCGCACGUAGGCGGAUAUGUCAGUCAGGGGUGAAAUCCCGGGGCUCAACCUCGGAACUGCCUUUGAUACAGCAUGUCUUGAGUCCGAUAGAGGUGGGUGGAAUUCCUAGUGUAGAGGUGAAAUUCGUAGAUAUUAGGAAGAACACCGGUGGCGAAGGCGGCGACCUGGUCCGUGACUGACGCUGAGGUGCGAAAGCGUGGGGAGCAAACAGG